rnacentral:rRNA from 1 species
GAGUUUGCUCCUGGCUCUGGACGAACGCUGGCGGCGCGCCUAACACAUGCAAGUCGAACGAGCGAGAGAGAGCUUGCUUUCUCAAGCGAGUGGCGAACGGGUGAGUGACGCGUGAGGAACCUGCCUCAAAGAGGGGGACAACAGUUGGAAACGACUGCUAAUACCGCAUAAGCCCACGGUGCCGCAUGGCACAGAGGGAAAAGGAGCAAUCCGCUUUGAGAUGGCCUCGCGUCCGAUUAGCUAGUUGGUGAGGUAAUGGCCCACCAAGGCGACGAUCGGUAGCCGGACUGAGAGGUUGAACGGCCACAUUGGGACUGAGACACGGCCCAGACUCCUACGGGAGGCAGCAGUGGGGAAUAUUGCACAAUGGGGGAAACCCUGAUGCAGCGACGCCGCGUGGAGGAAGAAGGUCUUCGGAUUGUAAACUCCUGUUGUUGAGGAAGAUAAUGACGGUACUCAACAAGGAAGUGACGGCUAACUACGUGCCAGCAGCCGCGGUAAAACGUAGGUCACAAGCGUUGUCCGGAAUUACUGGGUGUAAAGGGAGCGCAGGCGGGAAGACAAGUUGGAAGUGAAAUCUAUGGGCUCAACCCAUAAACUGCUUUCAAAACUGUUUUUCUUGAGUAGUGCAGAGGUAGGCGGAAUUCCCGGUGUAGCGGUGGAAUGCGUAGAUAUCGGGAGGAACACCAGUGGCGAAGGCGGCCUACUGGGCACCAACUGACGCUGAGGCUCGAAAGUGUGGGUAGCACACAGGAUUAGAUACGCUGGUAGUCCACACCGUAAACGAUGAUUACUAGGUGUUGGAGGAUUGACCCCUUCAGUGCCGCAGUUAACACAAUAAGUAAUCCACCUGGGGAGUACGACCGCAAGGUUGAAACUCAAAGGAAUUGACGGGGGCCCGCACAAGCAGUGGAGUAUGUGGUUUAAUUCGACGCAACGCGAAGAACCUUACCAAGUCUUGACAUCCCUUGACGGUGCUGGAAACAGUAUUUCUCUUCGGAGCAAGGAGACAGGUGGUGCAUGGUUGUCGUCAGCUCGUGUCGUGAGAUGUUGGGUUAAGUCCCGCAACGAGCGCAACCCUUAUGGUCAGUUACUACGCAAGAGGACUCUGGCCAGACUGCCGUUGACAAAACGGAGGAAGGUGGGGAUGACGUCAAAUCAUCAUGCCCUUUAUGACUUGGGCUACACACGUACUACAAUGGCGUUAAACAAAGAGAAGCAAGACCGCGAGGUGGAGCAAAACUCAGAAACAACGUCCCAGUUCGGACUGCAGGCUGCAACUCGCCUGCACGAAGUCGGAAUUGCUAGUAAUCGCAGAUCAGCAUGCUGCGGUGAAUACGUUCCCGGGCCUUGUACACACCGCCCGUC